AUGGCUAAGGAAGUUAAACAUUCAAGAUCUGGAGAAGUAAAGAAAACUGCUGAAGACCUGGAUGACUUUCUAGACAAGGUUCGAAGAGGUCAAAUAGUCCAUAAUGAUGAACUUUUGGGCUUUGCAAAGCUUUUCAACGAUGAGCUUACUUUGGAUAACAUUAGCAGGCCUCGCUUGGUUAACAUGUGCAAAUAUAUGGGUAU